UACAGAGGUCUCAAGCGUUGUUCGGAUUCAUUGGGCGUAAAGGGUGCGUAGGCGGCGCGGUAAGUCGGGGUGUGAAAUCUCGGAGCUUAACUCCGAAACUGCAUUCGAUACUGCCGUGCUUGAGGACUGGAGAGGAGACUGGAAUUUACGGUGUAGCGGUGAAAUGCGUAGAUAUCAAGAGGAACGCCUGCGGCGAAGGCGGGUUGCUGGGCUGACACGUGACGCUGAGGCGCGAAAGCUAGGGGAGCGAACAGG
rnacentral:rRNA from 1 species